rnacentral:rRNA from 4 species
AGUCGAGGGGUAUGCUUCUUCGGGAGCAGAGACCGGCGCACGGGUGCGUAACGCGUAUGCAAUCUACCUUUUACAGAGGGAUAGCCCAGAGAAAUUUGGAUUAAUACCUCAUAGUAUAAUAGCUCGGCAUCGAGCAAUUAUUAAAGUCACAACGGUAAAAGAUGAGCAUGCGUCCCAUUAGCUAGUUGGUAAGGUAACGGCUUACCAAGGCUACGAUGGGUAGGGGUCCUGAGAGGGAGAUCCCCCACACUGGUACUGAGACACGGACCAGACUCCUACGGGAGGCAGCAGUGAGGAAUAUUGGACAAUGGGCGCAAGCCUGAUCCAGCCAUGCCGCGUGCAGGAUGACGGUCCUAUGGAUUGUAAACUGCUUUUGUACAGGAAGAAACAGUUCUACGUGUAGAACCUUGACGGUACUGUAAGAAUAAGGAUCGGCUAACUCCGUGCCAGCAGCCGCGGUAAUACGGAGGAUCCAAGCGUUAUCCGGAAUCAUUGGGUUUAAAGGGUCCGUAGGCGGUUUAAUAAGUCAGUGGUGAAAGCCCAUCGCUCAACGGUGGAACGGCCAUUGAUACUGUUAAACUUGAAUUAUUAGGAAGUAACUAGAAUAUGUAGUGUAGCGGUGAAAUGCUUAGAGAUUACAUGGAAUACCAAUUGCGAAGGCAGGUUACUACUAAUUGAUUGACGCUGAUGG